AGUGAACGCUGGCGGUAGGCCUAACACAUGCAAGUCGAACGGCAGCACAGUAAGAGCUUGCUCUUACGGGUGGCGAGUGGCGGACGGGUGAGGAAUACAUCGGAAUCUACUUUUUCGUGGGGGAUAACGUAGGGAAACUUACGCUAAUACCGCAUACGACCUACGGGUGAAAGCAGGGGAUCUUCGGACCUUGCGCGAUUGAAUGAGCCGAUGUCGGAUUAGCUAGUUGGCGGGGUAAAGGCCCACCAGGGCGACGAUCCGUAGCUGGUCUGAGAGGAUGAUCAGCCACACUGGAACUGAGACACGGUCCAGACUCCUACGGGAGGCGGCAGUGGGGAAUAUUGGACAAUGGGCGCAAGCCUGAUCCAGCCAUACCGCGUGGGUGAAGAAGGCCUUCGGGUUGUAAAGCCCUUUUGUUGGGAAAGAAAAGCAGCAGGUUAAUACCCCGCUGUUCUGACGGUACCCAAAGAAUAAGCACCGGCUAACUUCGUG
rnacentral:rRNA from 1 species